AACGAACGCUGGCGGCAUGCCUAACACAUGCAAGUCGAACGAGACCUUCGGGUCUAGUGGCGCACGUGUGCGUAACGCGUGGGAACCUGCACUUAGGUUCGGAAUAACUCCCCGAAAGGGGUGCUAAUACCGGAUAAUGUCUUCGGACCAAAGAUUUAUCGCCUUUGGAUGGGCCCGCGUUGGAUUAGCUGGUUGGUAGGGUAACAGCCUACCAAGGCGAGGAUCCAUAGCUGGUCUGAGAGGAUGAUAAGCCACGCUGGGACUGAGACACGGCCCAGACUCCUACGCGAGGGAGCAGUGGGGAAUAUUGUACAAGGAGCGAAAAUCUGAUCCAGCAAUGCCGGGUGAGUGAGGAAGGCCUUAGUGUUGUAAAGCUCUUUUUCCCGAGAUGAUAAUGACAGUACCGGGAGAAUAAGCUCCGGCUAACUCCGUG
rnacentral:rRNA from 1 species